CGGUAUUCAAAACUGGUAUAUAUAAGGCUUCGCGCUUCAUAAAUUCACAUUUCGUCGCUGCCUCAAUUUUGCAGCAAUGAAUCCCGAAUCAGUGAUCGAGUUUUUGGGGUGUGUGCCGCUGCUCCAGACGCUGCCGAUUUCGUCUCACAAGAAGAUCGCCGAAGUCGUAUUCAUCAAGCGCUACGACCAAGGAGAUUCUAUAGUUUGUGGAGGAGAUGAGGCUGAUGGGAUCUAUUUCAUAUGGGAAGGAGAGGCUGAGGUCUGUGGGUCUUUACAGUCCGAUGAUAAAAGUCACGCUGAAUAUCACUUGAAGCAAUAUGACUUUUUUGGCCAUGGUAUGUCACCAUCUACUCAGCCAGUGGAUGUGCUUGCUUUGUCUAAGCUGACUUGCUUAGUCCUUCCAAAUGAUCAAGUGCAUUUGUUAAAACCAAAAUCAAUUUGGAGUGCGGAUGACGCACAGGAGAAGCACCCACUCAUUGAGCGAAUUUUACAACUGGAUCCUAUAGAGGUUGAUAUUUUCCAAGGUAUUACAUUGCCUGGUGCAAUAAAACAUGUAAGCGUGUUUGGCGGCCAAUUUCUCGGACAGGCACUAGCUGCAGCGUGUAAAACUGUUGAUUCUCAAAAGAUUGUUCACAGUUUGCAUGCAUACUUCAUUCUUCCUGGCGAUCUUAGUAGACCAAUUAUAUAUAAAGUGCAUCAUGUACGUGGUGGGAAAAGCUUUGCAACCCGAAGGGUAGAAGCUAUACAAAGAGAGAAAGUCUUGUUUACACUAAUGGUUUCUUUUCAGAACGAGGAACAACUGUUCAUUCACCAGGUGGUAGCAAUGCCUUCUGUGCCUGAUCCAGAAAAGCUUAUAUCAAGGGAAGAGUUGCACGAACAACGUCUUGUUGAUCCUAGGAUUCCGAGGACAUACCGCAUUAGAGCUGCUGGUACUGAUUUUUUUCCGUGGCCCAUUGAGCUUAGGUUCUGUGAGCCUGAUACUGCUGCCACCAAUUACAAAAAAUCUCCUCCAAGUUUAAGGUACUGGUUUAGAGCUAGAGGAAUACUUUCUGAUGAUCAGGCUUUGCACAGAUGCAUAGUGGCUUAUGCUUCUGAUCUGUUUUUUCUCCAAGUGAGUUUAAACCCACAUUAUGAAAAGGAUCUUAAGUCAACAAAUGUUAGCCUAGGCCAUUCGAUGUGGUUUCACAAGCCUCUUAGAGCUGACGAUUGGCUGCUAUAUGUGAUUGAUAGUCCAAUUUCUCACAGCGGUCGUGGAUUUGUUAGUGGACGAAUGUUUACUCGAACAGGAGAGCUAGUUGUUUCUAUAGCGCAAGAGGGAUUAUUGAGGAGGGCGAGGGAACCAGCUCCAGCUCCAGCUUCCGCAUCCAAACUAUAAAAUUCAGUGGCAUUGAUCAAGUCUAUUUUUUUCAACUCUAAAGGAGUCGUUUGAUACUACCGAAUAGCCUAGAAAAUGGCAGUAUUUUGGUCAAAGUCUGAUGUUUGAUAGUAAAGUAUAUUUUCUUAAUGGCCCUUGAAAAAUGCUUGGCCCGCGUAUCUAUUCUUAUAUACUCCAGUUAAUUUUUCGGACCGAACCCCUCCGAUUGUAUUCUUGCCUCGAACAAGGGACCCAGAAAAUGUACUGCUUUCCACCAAUACCCCUCCUCUCUCUUCUCAUCCAAUACCCUUCUUCUCUCUCUUCUUCUUUUCUUCUCUUCUCUUCCCUUCCAAGGGGAUGAUUGAACUCCAGCAAUAAAAAUUCAAUUGAGUCUCGUUUUUCAGUUGGAUUUGAGGAUUUCAAUUUAACUCAUACACUCUGACUACUGCUCUCCCUCCCAUGGGGCGUGGAUUCAAGUAUUCAAUUCAAAUACGGAAAAAUAGCAAAGCAUCACCGCUGGAAAAAAAAAAUGAAGAGUUGCAGAAUGGAGUAACAUCUGCGCAAUAGAUUUGUCGGAGCCGGAGGCAUAAACUGAAAAUGCCUAAUUAAAGGGUGCAAGUGUCAUUUCCCUAUUAAAAAUGAUAAAAGGAAUAUAAUCGGUGUCCACUUCCGCCUUGUAUCAAACAAAAGUAGAGCGACUCUCUAUCGGUAGCUUUCUUGGUCAAAAUCUGGAUGAGUUUCUUGGCACACCUUUUCCUCACAUUGUUAUCAAACAUACCCUAAACAGAGCUGCCCCAUUCAGAGAAAUGAUUUGUGGUAGAGAAUAAACUGGCUCGGAAAUGAGGGAAUUAGAAUUCCACCAAGAAUUGUGCUAAAAUUUCAAUUAAUUCAAUUAUUUGGCAUGUAGGUUAUGCAUGCUCAGCCCUUGUUAAUGUAUCUUGACACAGCUUCAUGAUGCUAAAAUUAGACUGUUUCUCAUGAUUAAUCCC